rnacentral:rRNA from 1 species
AGCUAACGCUAGCGGGAUGCCUCAAACAUGCAAGUCGCACGGGAACGGCUUCGGCCUAGUACAGUGGCGCACGGGUGCGUAACACGUAGCUAACGCCCCUCUUCGCUGGGGAUAACUCCGGGAAACCAGAGCUAAUACCGAAUGAGCUGACAUUUACUGCGGUUUAUGUCAGCAAAGCCGUAAGGCGCGAAGAGAUCGGGCUGCGUCUGAUUAGCUUGUUGGUAGGGUAACGGCCUACCAAGGCUACGAUCAGUAGCUGGUCUGAGAGGAUGAUCAGCCACACUGGAACUGGAACACGGUCCAGACUCCCACGGGAGGCAGCAGUUGGGAAUAUUGCACAAUGGGGGAAACCCUGAUGCAGCAAUCCCGCGUGAAUGACGAAGGCCUUCGGGUUGUAAAGUUCUUUUGGCAGGGAAGAAUUAUGACGGUACCUGCAGAAUAAGCACCGGCUAACUACGUGCCAGCAGCCGCGGUAA